rnacentral:rRNA from 1 species
CGAAGGCAAAGUGAAAGCGAGCGUUAAUAGCGCGAAAUAAAUACAGGAUGGUAAAGACCCGAAACCGUGUGAGCUAACCAUGACCAGGAUGAAGUUUGGCGAAAGCUAGAUGGAGGUCCGAACUAGUGUCAGUUGCAAGUGGCUUGGAUGAGUUGUGGUUAGAGGUGAUAUACCAACCGAACACGGAGAUAGCUGGUUCUCCCCGAAAUAUAUUUUGGUAUAGCCCGCAUGUUUAACCCCUAGGGGUAGAGCACUGGAUGGAUAGUAGCGACGCAAGUUGCUGCAUUCAACCAAACUCCGAAUACUAGGGUGUACAUCUGCGGAGUCAGUCCGUGAGGGAUAAGCCUUACUGGGCAAAAGGGAAACAUCCCAGAUCUAUAGCUAAGGUCCCGAAGUGUAUCUUAAGUGUUAAAGGUAGUAUUUGUGCUUAGACAGCAAGGAGGUUGGCUCAGAGGCAGCCAUCCUUUAAAGAAAGCGUAACAGCUCACUUGUCGAUUUGUGGCAUAGGUGCGCCGAUAAUUCAACGGGGCUAAAGAUACCACCGAAGCUUAGAAUUUCUGAUUUAUCAGGAGUGGUAGGGGAGCGUUUGCAUUGCUGUGAAGUUUGCGCGUAAGCGUGAGUGGAGCGAUGUGAAGUGAGAAUGCCGGUAUGAGUAGCGAAAGUCAUGUGAGAAUCAUGACCGCCGAAUAUCCAAGGUUUCCUACGCAACGUUCGUCGACGUAGGGUUAGUCGGUCCUAAGGCGAGGCCAGAAGGCGUAGUCGAUGGAUUUGCAGUUAAUAUUCUGCAACUAAUGUAAGAUCGUUAUUACUAAAGGGAAGACGGAGAAGGAAUUUUUCUGGGUCGAAAUGAUACGGCCUCUAAAGAGCAAGGAAGUGAAGUGUAGCAAAUCUCAUUUCAUGUUUAUUCGAGCUUCUAUGGGAAGUCGGCGCAAGCUGGCAAGUGAAAAGGUUUCAUCUUCCGAGAAAUUCUCUCGUUAGGAGAUUUUAUGUUAACCGUACCGCAAACCGACACAGGUGGAUUGGUAGAGGAUACCAAGGCGAGCGAGAAAACUUUCCUUAAGGAACUCGGCAAUAUAACUGGACGUACCUUUGGUAGAUGUCCUCCCGUAGCAAUACGGGCGCAGUUAAUGACGCCAGGCGACUGUUUAACAAAAACACAGCUCUCUGCUAAGUCGAAAGACGAAGUAUAGGGGGUGACACCUGCCCAGUGCUCGUAGGUUAAACGUUUAUUGUGAUUUGUCCUUCGGGAUGAUGAGCUUUGGAUGUAAGCCCGGGUAAACGGCAGCAGUAACUAUAACUGUUCUAAGGUAGCGAAAUUCCUUGUCGGGCAAGUUCCGACCUGCACGAAAGGUUGCAUGACGUAGUGACUGUCUUGAACCAUUACCCGGCGAAAUUGAAAUGGCUGUGAAGAUGCGGCC